GACGCCAUUCGAGCUUACUCUGCAGGUACCGUCAAUCACCAAAGGUAUUAACUGAAAUGACUUUUUCCCUGCUAAAAGGGCUUUACAACCCGAAGGCCUUUUUAACACACGCGGCAUGGUUGGAUAAGGGUUGCCCCCAUUGUCCAAAAUUCCCCACUGUUGCCUCCCGUAGGAGUCCGGCCCGGGUCUAAGUUCCGGGGUGACUGAUCAUCCUUUAAAACCAGUUAAGGUUCGCCGCCUUGGUAGGCCUUUACCCUACCAACUAGCUAAUCCUACGUAGGCUCUUCUAAAAGCGGUGAGGGCCUGAAGAUCCCCCACUUUGUCCUUUAAGACGUUGGCGGGAUUUAAUCCGGGUUUCCCCGGCUUUUCCCCCAUUACAGGGAAAAUUCCAACGAGUUACUAACCCGUCCGCCCUUGGUCNCCAGUUAACCCCCCUUUUACCNNUCAANUUUNANGGUGUNAAANCCUCCCCCCCNGNCCCUU
rnacentral:rRNA from 1 species